rnacentral:rRNA from 1 species
CCUACGGGAGGCAGCAGUGAGGAAUAUUGGUCAAUGGGCUUACGCCUGAACCAGCCAAGUCGCGUGAGGGAAGACUGCCCUAUGGGUUGUAAACCUCUUUUGUCAGGGAGCAACGCCGGCUACGUGUAGCCGGACUGAGAGUACCUGAAGAAAAAGCAUCGGCUAACUCCGUGCCAGCAGCCGCGGUAAUACGGAGGAUGCGAGCGUUAUCCGGAUUUAUUGGGUUUAAAGGGUGCGUAGGCGGAAUGCCAAGUCAGCGGUAAAAUCGCGGGGCUCAACCUCGCUCCGCCGUUGAAACUGGCGGUCUUGAGUGGGAGAGAAGUAUGCGGAAUGCGUGGUGUAGCGGUGAAAUGCAUAGAUAUCGCGCAGAACUCCGAUUGCGAAGGCAGCAUACCGGCGCCAAACUGACGCUGAAGCACGAAAGCGUGGGUAUCGAACAGGAUUAGAUACCCGAGUAGUC